rnacentral:rRNA from 1 species
AGUGAACGCUGGCGGUAGGCCUAACACAUGCAAGUCGAACGGCAGCACAGGAGAGCUUGCUCUCUGGGUGGCGAGUGGCGGACGGGUGAGGAAUACAUCGGAAUCUACUUUUUCGUGGGGGAUAACGUAGGGAAACUUACGCUAAUACCGCAUACGACCUACGGGUGAAAGCAGGGGACCUUCGGGCCUUGCGCGAUUGAAUGAGCCGAUGUCGGAUUAGCUAGUUGGCGGGGUAAAGGCCCACCAAGGCGACGAUCCGUAGCUGGUCUGAGAGGAUGAUCAGCCAAACUGGAACUGAGAAACGGUCCAGACUCCUACGGGAGGCAGCAGUGGGGAAUAUUGGCCAAUGGGCGCAAGCCUGAUCCAGCCAUACCGCGUGGGUGAAGAAGGCCUUCGGGUUGUAAAGCCCUUUUGUUGGGAAAGAAAUCCAGCUGGCUAAUACCCGGUUGGGAUGACGGUACCCAAAGAAUAAGCACCGGCUAACUUCGUGCCAGCCGCCGCCGUAA